rnacentral:SRP_RNA from 1 species
CGAUUGGGUCUUACGCAAUGGAGCUUUACGAACCCCGUCAGGUCCGGGAGGAAGCAGCGGUAAGUAAAUGCCUCCAUGUGCCGUAAGGGUGCCUGGUCCGAGC